rnacentral:rRNA from 1 species
ACUCCUACGGGAGGCAGCAGUAGGGAAUCUUCCACAAUGGGCGCAAGCCUGAUGGAGCAACACCGCGUGAGUGAAGAAGGGUUUCGGCUCGUAAAGCUCUGUUGUUAAAGAAGAACACGUAUGAGAGUAACUGUUCAUACGUUGACGGUAUUUAACCAGAAAGUCACGGCUAACUACGUGCCAGCAGCCGCGGUAAUACGUAGGUGGCAAGCGUUAUCCGGAUUUAUUGGGCGUAAAGAGAGUGCAGGCGGUUUUCUAAGUCUGAUGUGAAAGCCUUCGGCUUAACCGGAGAAGUGCAUCGGAAACUGGAUAACUUGAGUGCAGAAGAGGGUAGUGGAACUCCAUGUGUAGCGGUGGAAUGCGUAGAUAUAUGGAAGAACACCAGUGGCGAAGGCGGCUACUUGGUCUGCAACUGACGCUGAGACUCGAAAGCAUGGGUAGCGGACAGGAUUAGAUACCCUGGUAGGAUAGCG